CUCAUCCCAGAGCAGAACUGUGCUGAGGGCUCAAAAAAGGGCUUUNAUCCUAUCACUUGCCUCAGUCUCAAACUAGUCAUCUUCUGCAAACACCUGUGGCUUGGCUUCUAUCAGAUCUUGACCUCCACCAAAGGAAUCACAAGUGAAGAGUUUGUGCUGAAAUAAGACAAUUUGAAAAUAUAUUGAUAAUUCUCUUUUAAAGCUUUUGAGAAUUAAUCCUGGAACUGGGUUGGCAUUGGAGCACUUGAGCAUUCUAGAUGACUAGAGAAGAUGACAUCAAAGGAAACAGGCAGACAUUUCCACGCUUGAUUUCUGAAGACUGGCAAGGUGCAGCAUUGCAUCUCACAAUCUGCANUGCAGAGCUUUGUCAACUGCCUAGGGUUGUGUUGACCACAUACAACAAGACAUUCUCUAAUGAUCACUCCUCUUGAAGGUAGGGAAAGUCCAAGAGCCUUUUGUGUGAGGAUGUUGACAGAUUCAUGAUUUGCUUAAUUAGACCCCUUUGUGUCACCAGUGUAGUGCCCUUGAAAGCCCUUAUAUCUCAUGCCCUCCAUUUCAUUUCUGCUUCUUUAUGGGCACAUGAAGAUGUACAUGCAAAUUAAAGCCCGCUGUUGUUUUUUUCUUUUCUCUUACUGGCCAAGCUCAGAUUCUUUAAUCACCCCCAGGCAAUCAACCUGAUUGAUGCACUUGUCAGUGAAUAAAAUAUCAAGUCUCUUCUGCUUUUGCUGUUUU
rnacentral:lncRNA from 1 species